UGCUGAUCCGAGUGCAGUGGUAUUUAACAACUAAUUGAUGACAACCAGUUACAGAUUUCUUGGUUCCUUCUCCACUCCCACUGCUUCACUUGACUAGCCUUAA
rnacentral:Y_RNA from 1 species